UCCCUGGUGGUCUAGUGGUUAGGACUCAGCACUUUCACUGCUAUGGCCCAGGUUCGAUCCCUGGUCUGGGAA
rnacentral:tRNA from 2 species